UUCCGGUUGAUCCCGCCGGAGGCUACCGCUAUUGGAGUUCGAUUAAGCCAUGCGAGUCGAGAGUCUUAGGGACUCGGCGUACCGCUCAGUAACACGUGGGUAACCUGCCCUAUGCUGGGGAAUAACCUCGGGAAACUGAGAAUAAUGCCCCAUAGUUCACUACGCCUGGAACGGUGAGUGGAUGAAAGCUCCGGCGGCAUAGGAUGGGCCUGCGGCGUAUCAGGUCGUAGGGGGUGUAACGUACCCUCUAGCCAUCGACGCGUACGGGUGUUGGGAGACAUAGCCCGGAGAUGGAUUCUGAGACACGAAUCCAGACCCUACGGGGUGCAGCAGGCGCGAAAACUUGGCAAUGCGAGAAAUCGUGACCAGGGAACUCCAAGUGGCUGGGGUAAGACCCAGUCUUUUCUUGACUCUUCAAAGGUCUUGGAAUAAGAGGUGGGUAAGGACGGUGCCAGCCGCCGCGGUAAUACCGGCGCCUCAAGUGGUAGUCGAUUUUAUUGGGCCUAAAACGUCCGUAGCCUGUUUGGUACAUUCGUGGGUAAAUCAACCAGCUCAACUGGUUGAAUUCUGCGAGCACGGCCAGACUUGGGACCGGGAGAGGUGUGGGGUACGCUCAGGGUAGGGGUAAAAUCCUGUCAUCCUGAGCGGACCACCUGUUGCGAAGGCGCCACACUAGAACGGAUCCGACGGUCAGGGACGAAGCCUAGGGGCACGAACCGGAUUAGAUACCCGGGUAGUCCAGGGCGUAAACGCUGCUGACUUGGUGUUGGGGGUCCUGCGAGGGCGUCCAGUGCCGGCGCGAAGGCAUUUAGUCAGCCGCCUGGGGAGUACGGUCGCAAGACUGAAACUUAAAGGAAUUGGCGGGGGAGCACUGCAACGGGUGGAGCGUGCGGUUUAAUUGGAUUCAACGCCGG
rnacentral:rRNA from 1 species